UACGAAGGGGGCUAGCGUUGCUCGGAAUCACUGGGCGUAAAGGGUGCGCAGGCGGUCGGGUGUGUCAGAUGUGAAAUCCCGAGGCUCAACCCUCGGAACUGCGUCUGAAACUACUCGACUAGAGUACUGGAGAGGGUAACGGAAUUCACGGUGUAGCAGUGAAAUGCGUAGAUAUCGUGAGGAACACCAGAGGCGAAGGCGGUUACCUGGACAGUUACUGACGCUCAGGCACGAAAGCAUGGGGGAGCAAAAAGGG
rnacentral:rRNA from 1 species